rnacentral:lncRNA from 1 species
CUGCUCUGAAUAUUAGGUUUGUGAGGCAAGCCAUCACUCUCCUUCAGAAAACUUUGAUCAUUGUUAGACAUUUGUUAUUCCUUUUAGUUUAUAAAAACAAACUACUGAAGAGUCUGCUUUGGAGAGUUAUGGGAUUUUUGUGAGAUAUGGUUUGGAAGAGGUGAUAUCAAUGAUGAUAUUGAGUUCUUUCCAAGAACAUGUAUCAUCCACCCACCGAUUUGAUUCUGCUUUGACAUGGCUCAAUAGAAAUUCAAAAGUUGUUCUGUUAGGUUCAUUAAAUAUUGAUCACUUAUUAUACUUAGUACUUUAUUAAAUUUGGCCUGGAGUAAAGUGUUUAUACGUCCCCAAAGGAUAUCUCUUGUUGUAAUCACAUAGGAUGAACUCAGUUCCCCAAUGGACAAGUUGUGACAACAUGCAUGAAAUAGUGUCUACCAGGUAAUUAGCUCGUUAGACACUCAGUGUGCAUAGUGUUU